rnacentral:rRNA from 1 species
UACUAGAGUAGCACUCGCAUAUCAAUAAGCGGAGGAAAAGAAACUAACAAGGAUUCCCCUAGUAACGGCGAGUGAAGCGGGAAGAGCUCAAAUUUGAAAUCUUAAAGGGUUUCCCUUUACGAAUUGUAGUUUAAAGAAGUGUUUUCUGUUGAGGUUUUGGUAAAAGUUCUUUGGAAUAGGACAUCAUAGAGGGUGAGAAUCCCGUAUUUGACCUUUGCUUUCAACUUUGUGAUACACUUUCAAAGAGUCGGAUUGUUUGGGAAUGCAGUCCAAAAUGGGUGGUAAAUUUCAUCUAAAGCUAAAUAUUGGCGAGAGACCGAUAGCGAACAAGUACCGUGAGGGAAAGAUGAAAAGAACUUUGAAAAGAGAGUUAAACAGUACGUGAAAUUGUCAAAAGGGAAGCGUUCGACACCAGUGUUGUUUUUUUGAAAAUCAAUUAAAGAACUGUUUAUGCUAAGCUGUUUAGACUUUAUCAGCUAAUCUGUUUAGUUUUAGGCUUUUCUUUAAUGCACUUUUCAGUUAACAAGUCAACAUCAAUUUCUUUUGCUGUAAAAAAGCUUGAGGAAGGUGGCUUGAGAUUCGUCUUAAGUGUUUAUAGCCUCUUGCCUAUGCAGUCGGAGAGAUUGAGGUCUGCAGCGUAGAUCCUUCGGGGCUAAAUGCAUUUGUGCUAAGUUAUAGCAUUUUAUAGACAACUUGUUGACUAUGAUUUGUCUUGUAGCUUACUCGCUUAUGUUAUUUUACCUACGCUUAGGAUGUUGAGCGCAUGUCUCUCUCU